GGAUGUGAGGGCGAUCUGGCUGCGACAUCUGUCACCCCAUUGAUCUCCAGGGUUGAAGUGGCUGAUCUAGCUGUCUAAGUGGACGUCUCCCUCCUCCCUCUCCACUUGUGCGUCCCUCCCGCAGCUGCAGGCUUGGUCAGUCGAAGAAGGCGACCUUCUAGGUUAGCGGAGGAUCGUUCUUCCGUCAAGGUGUAUGAGUAGCUGCACUCUCCUGCUACAACCUCCAAACAAGCCCUCAAGAUUUCAAAAUGUUUGCUGCAGAUAUUUUUUAACACUAAAUUAUUUAUACUCAAAAAACUCAGUAAAUAAAUAUCAAAUAGAUUAAGAAUUUU
rnacentral:snRNA from 1 species